rnacentral:rRNA from 1 species
UACGAAGGGGGCUAGCGUUAAUCGGAUUUACUGGGCGUAAAGGGCGCGUAGGUGGUUAUUUAAGUGAGAUGUGAAAUCCCCGGGCUUAACCUGGGAACUGCGUUUCUAACUGGCAGGCUUGAGUGUGGCAGAGGGGGGUGGAAUUCCACGUGUAGCAGUGAAAUGCGUAGAGAUGUGGAGGAACACCGAUGGCGAAGGCAGCCCCCUGGGCUAACACUGACGCUCAUGCACGAAAGCGUGGGGAGCAAACAGG